rnacentral:rRNA from 1 species
AUGACCCUACGGGGGGCAGCAGUGAGGAAUAUUGGUCAAUGGGAGAGAUCCUGAACCAGCCAAGCCGCGUGAGGGAAGACGGCCCUAUGGGUUGUAAACCUCUUUUGUCGGAGAACAAAACCCGGGACGAGUCCCGGACUGCGUGUAUCCGAAGAAAAAGCAUCGGCUAACUCCGUGCCAGCAGCCGCGGUAAUACGGAGGAUGCGAGCGUUAUCCGGAUUUCUUGGGUUUAAAGGGUGCGUAGGCGGUCCGUUCAG